UUUUGAGAACUAAUAAAAUUGCUUCAUUGACCUGACCUUUCUAAGCGCAGCGAUUCUAUUGGAUCUAAGCAACACAUC